GAUGAAGAACGUAGCGAAAUGCGAUAAGUAAUGUGAAUUGCAGAAUUCAGUGAAUCAUCGAAUCUUUGAACGCACCUUGCGCUCCUUGGUAUUCCGAGGAGCAUGCCUGUUUGAGUGUCAUUAAAUUCUCAACUACACCAUUUUGUUUAACAAAGUGCUUGUGUAGCUUGGAUGUGGAGGCUUUGCAGGUCCGCACCAGCGGUCUGCUCCUCUGAAAUGUAUAGUGGGUUGUGCCCCUAAUCUAUUGGUGUGAUAAUUAUCUACGCCGUGGAUUUUGGGCUACACUAGACCUGCUUCUAACCGUCUCGUCAAGGGACAAACUAUUGACAUUUUUGACCUCAAAUCAGGUAAGACUACCCGCUGAACUUAAGCAUAUCAAUAAGCGGAGGA
rnacentral:misc_RNA from 1 species